rnacentral:rRNA from 1 species
GCUCCUACGGGACGCAGCAGUGAGGAAUAUUGGUCAAUGGACGGAAGUCUGAACCAGCCAUGCCGCGUGCAGGAAGACGGCUCUAUGAGUUGUAAACUGCUUUUGUACAAGGGUAAACCUGAAUACGUGUAUUCAGCUGAAAGUACUGUACGAAUAAGGAUCGGCUAACUCCGUGCCAGCAGCCGCGGUAAUACGGAGGAUCCAAGCGUUAUCCGGAUUUAUUGGGUUUAAAGGGUGCGUAGGCGGUCAGGUAAGUUAGAGGUGAAAGCUCGAUGCUCAACAUCGAAACUGCCUCUGAUACUGUC